rnacentral:rRNA from 1 species
AUGGCCGUGGCAGGAGCAGCCUGCGCCUCCCGGCCGCCGCGCUCGCCGCGCUGGCGAGGGCCCGCGUCGCCGCGCGCCGCGGCGGGGGCGGUGGAGAUACGGGUCUGCACGAACCACACGUGCGCGCGGCAGGGCGGGCGCGAGGUGCUCGUGGCGCUCGAGGGGCUCUCGCAGCCCCCGCCGCGCGUCGACGUGGCGUCCUGCGGGUGCCUGGGCCCCUGCGGCGCCGGGCCCAACGUCGGCGCCUCCAUCCCGGGCCGCGGUAACGCCGUGUUCGGCCAUGUGAGCACCUCCUCGGCGCCGCCGAGUUCGACGCCGCAGCGGGGCUCGCCGCGUGCGGGAUCGGCUACCGGCGGCGACCACCGCGCUGGGCGACACGGAGCGAGAUGCAGCGGUACACGGGAGACGUGUAAGGUGAGAAUAGGGAUUGGGGGUACCGCCGGCGCGCUCGCGGAUGCCGAGGAGGCGAUAAGGAUAGCUCCCAGUUUUCCUCAUUCUCACUUGUUGCGAGGGGACGCACUAUUCGCUCCGGGAGACUACCACUCCGCAGAGGAUGCUUUUGCACGCGCCUUGGAUCUUGACCCAUCUAUUCGUCGGUCCAAGUCUUUCAAGGCCCGCUUGGAAAAGCUACGGGAGAAGCUUGUAAGUGUCAGCAGUUCAUCAUAG